AGAGUUUGAUCCUGGCUCAGGACGAACGCUGGCGGCGUUAACACAUGCAAGUGGAGCGACGAACCAGGGCUUGCCCUGGGGCAGAGCCGCGAACGGGUGAGUAACACGUGGGCAACCUGCCCCGAUGACUGGGACAACCCGAGGAAACUCGGGCUAAUACCGGAUGUGCUCCCUCACAUCAGUGAGGUGAGUAAAGGAAGCUUCGGCCUCCGCAUUGGGAGGGCCCGCGGCCCAUUAGCUUGUUGGUGGGGUAAUGGCCUACCAAAGCAACGAUGGGUAGCUGGUCUGAGAGGACGAUCAGCCACACUGGGACUGAGACACGGCCCAGACUCCUACGGGAGGCAGCAGUGGGGAAUCUUGCACAAUGCGCGAAAGCGUGAUGCAGCAACGCCGCGUGAGGGAAGACGGCCUUCGGGUUGUAAACCUCUUUCAGUUGGGACGAAGGUCGGGCGGUUAAUAGCCGUUCCGGCUGACGGUACCUUCACAAGAAGCCCCGGCUAACUACGUGCCAGCAGCCGCGGUAAUACGUAGGGGGCAAGCGUUGUCCGGAAUCAUUGGGCGUAAAGAGCGUGUAGGCGGCUUGAUAAGUCGGCUGUGAAAGUCAAGGGCUCAACCCUUGAAUGCCGGCCGAUACUGUCAAGCUAGAGUCCGGAAGAGGCGAGUGGAAUUCCUGGUGUAGCGGUGAAAUGCGCAGAUAUCAGGAGGAACACCAAUGGCGAAGGCAGCUCGCUGGGACGGUACUGACGCUGANNNNCGAAAGCGUGGGGAGCAAACAGGAUUAGAUACCCUAGUAGUCC
rnacentral:rRNA from 1 species